rnacentral:rRNA from 1 species
GACGAACGCUGGCGGCGUGCUUAACACAUGCAAGUCGAGCGGUAAGGCCCUUUCGGGGGUACACGAGCGGCGAACGGGUGAGUAACACGUGGGUGACCUGCCCUUAGCUCUGGGAUAAGCCUGGGAAACUGGGUCUAAUACCGGAUAUGACUCCAUGACGCAUGUUGUGGGGUGGAAAGCCUUGUGCGGCUAGGGAUGGGCCCGCGGCCUAUCAGCUUGUUGGUGGGGUUGAUGGCCUACCAAGGCGACGAC